rnacentral:rRNA from 1 species
GAUGAACGCUGGCGGCGUGCCUAAUACAUGCAAGUCGAGCGAACGGACGAGACUCUUGCUUCUCUGAUGUUUGCCGCGCACGGGCGUGUAACACGUGUAUAACCCACCUAUCAGACUGGGAUCACUUCGGGAAACCGUAGCUAAUACCAGAUAAUAUUUUGCACCGCAUGGUUCAAAAGUGAAAUACGGUCUUGCUGUCACUUAUAGAUGCAUCCGCGCUGCUUUAGCUUGUUGGUAAGGUAAUGGCUUACCAAGGCAAGGAUGCAUAGCCGACCGGACAGGGUGGUCGGCCACACUGGAAGUGAGACGGGGUCGUGACUCCUGCGGGAGGCAGCAGUAGGGAAUCUUACGCAAUGGGGGAGAGCCUGACGGAGCAACGCGGCGUGAGUGAUGAAGGUGUUCGGAUCGUAAAGCUCUGUUAUUAGGGAAGAACAUAUGUGUAAGUAACUGUGCACAUAUUGACGGUACCUAGUCAGAAAGCCACGGCUAACUACGUG